AGAGUUUGAUCAUGGCUCAGAACGAACGUUGGCGGCGUGGAUUAGGCAUGCAAGUCGAACGAAUCCCGGUGGGGGUAACUCUGCCGGGGGAAGUGGCGAAAGGGGCAGUAAGGCAUGGGUAACCUGCCCGGGGGACGGGGAUAGCCCUCCUAACGGAGGGGUAAUACCCGGCGACGUGCCGAGGGGGCAUCUCCCUGGCACCAAAGGAGUUUCGCCCCCGGAGGGGCUCAUGUGGUAUUAGCUGGUUGGUGAGGUAACGGCUCACCAAGGCUGAGAUGCCUAGCAGGUGUGAGAGCACGACCUGCGCCACUGACACUGGGACACUGGCCAGACUCCUACGGGAGGCUGCAGUCGAGGAUCUUCGGCAAUGGGCGCAAGCCUGACCGAGCGACGCCGCGUGUGCGACGAAGGCCUUCGGGUUGUAAAGCACUGUCGAGGGGAAGAAAAGCCGCAAGGCCUGAUCGACCCCUGGAGGAAGCACGGGCUAAGUUCGUGCCAGCAGCCGCGGUAAGACGAACCGUGCGAACGUUGUUCGGAUUCACUGGGCUUAAAGGGCGCGUAGGCGGACCAUCAAGUCAGGGGUGAAAGCCCCCGGCCCAACCGGGGAAGUGCCUCUGAUACUGACGGUCUCGAGCGGGAUAGGGGCAGCUGGAACUUCCGGUGGAGCGGUGAAAUGCGUAGAUAUCGGAAGGAACGCCGGUGGCGAAAGCGAGCUGCUGGAUCCCUCCUGACGCUGAGGCGCGAAAGCCAGGGGAGCGAACGGGAUUAGAUACCCCAGUAGUCC
rnacentral:rRNA from 1 species